rnacentral:rRNA from 1 species
UACGUAGGGUGCAAGCGUUGUCCGGAAUUAUUGGGCGUAAAGAGCUCGUAGGCGGUCUGUCGCGUCGGCUGUGAAAUCCCGAGGCUCAACCUCGGGUCUGCAGUCGAUACGGGCAAACUAGAGUAUUGCAGGGGAGACUGGAAUUCCUGGUGUAGCGGUGAAAUGCGCAGAUAUCAGGAGGAACACCGGUGGCGAAGGCGGGUCUCUGGGCCGAUACUGACGCUGAGGAGCGAAAGCAUGGGUAGCGAACAGG